rnacentral:sRNA from 1 species
UGCUAUGGGAUUCCGAAGGCGCUCCGCAC